rnacentral:rRNA from 1 species
UACGUAGGGGGCGAGCGUUGUCCGGAUUCAUUGGGCGUAAAGAGCUCGUAGGCGGUUCAGUAAGUCGGGUGUGAAAUCUCCGUGCUCAACACGGAGCGGCCACCUGAUACUGCUGUGACUCGAGUCCGGUAGGGGAGUGUGGAAUUCCCGGUGUAGCGGUGAAAUGCGCAGAUAUCGGGAGGAACACCGGUGGUGUAGACGGCUUUCUGGACCGUAACUGACGCUGAGACACGAAAGCGUGGGUAGCAAACAGG